rnacentral:tRNA from 1 species
GAGUUCGUAGCUUAAUUGGAUAGAGUUUAUGACUACGGAUCAUACGGUUAGAGGUUCGAUUCCUCUCGAACUCA